GUUAUAUGGUCAAGCGAAUAAGCGCACACGGUGGAUGCCUAGGCGGUCAGAGGCGAUGAAGGACGUGGUAGCCUGCGAAAAGUGUCGGGGAGCUGGCAACAAGCUUUGAUCCGGCAAUAUCCGAAUGGGGAAACCCACUGCUUCGGCAGUAUCCUGCAGUGAAUUCAUAGCUGCUGGAAGCGAACCCGGUGAACUGAAAUAUCUAAGUAACCGGAGGAAAAGAAAUCAACCGAGAUUCCCUAAGUAGUGACGAGCGAACGGGGAGCAGCCCUUAAGCUGGAAUGGCUUUAGAAAAACAAUCUGGAAAGAUUGGCCAUAGAAGGUGAUAGCCCUGUAUUUAAAAGGGCCACUCCAGUGAAGACGAGUAGGGCGGGGCACGUGAAACCCUGUCUGAAUAUGGGGGGACCAUCCUCCAAGGCUAAAUACUCCUGACCGACCGAUAGUGAACCAGUACCGUGAGGGAAAGGCGAAAAGAACCCCGGAGAGGGGAGUGAAAUAGAUCCUGAAACCGUGUGCGUACAAGCAGUAGGAGCUCGCAAGAGUGACUGCGUACCUUUUGUAUAAUGGGUCAGCGACUUACUGUUCGUGGCAAGCUUAACCGUAUAGGGGAGGCGAAGGGAAACCGAGUCUGAUAAGGGCGCAUAGUCGCGGGCAGUAGACCCGAAACCGGGUGAUCUAGUCAUGGCCAGGGUGAAGGUGCCGUAACAGGUACUGGAGGCCCGAACCCACGUCUGUUGCAAAAGACGGGGAUGAGCUGUGAUUAGGAGUGAAAAGCUAAUCGAACCCGGAGAUAGCUGGUUCUCCUCGAAAGCUAUUUAGGUAGCGCCUCGGACGAAUACUACUGGGGGUAGAGCACUGUUAUGGCUAGGGGGUCAUCGCGACUUACCAAACCAUUGCAAACUCCGAAUACCAGUACGUACUAUCCGGGAGACACACGGCGGGUGCUAACGUCCGUCGUGAAAAGGGAAACAACCCAGACCCACAGCUAAGGUCCCAAAUUCACUGCUAAGUGGAAAACGAUGUGGAAAGGCAUAGACAGCCAGGAGGUUGGCUUAGAAGCAGCCACCCUUUAAAGAAAGCGUAAUAGCUCACUGGUCGAGUCGGUCUGCGCGGAAGAUUUAACGGGGCUAAGCAGUGAACCGAAGCUUGGGGUGCAUAAAACUUGUUUUAUGCGCGGUAGAGGAGCGUUCCGUAAGCCUGCGAAGGUGGAUUGAGAAGUCUGCUGGAGGUAUCGGAAGUGCGAAUGCUGACAUGAGUAACGAUAAUGCGGGUGAAAAGCCCGCACGCCGAAAGCCCAAGGUUUCCUUGCGCAACGUUAAUCGACGCAGGGUUAGUCGGUCCCUAAGGCGAGGGCGAAAGCCGUAGUCGAUGGGAAGCAGGUUAAUAUUCCUGCACCUCGCGUGAGUGCGAUGGAGGGACGGAGAAGGUUAGGUGUACCGGGCGUUGGUUGUCCCGGGGAAAGGCGGUAGGUUUGGAUCUUUGGCAAAUCCGGGAUCCUUUAAGACCGAGCACCGAGACGAGCCUUUAUGGCGAAGUCACUGAUACCACGCUUCCAGGAAAAGCUCCUAAGCUUCAGCUCACGAAGACCGUACCGUAAACCGACACAGGUGGGUAGGAUGAGAAUUCUCAGGCGCUUGAGAGAACUCGGGUGAAGGAACUAGGCAACAUGGCACCGUAACUUCGGGAGAAGGUGCACCCUUUUUGGUGGCUCAUGCGAGCUAUAGCUGAAGAGGGUCGCAGAAACCAGGCCGCUGCGACUGUUUAUCAAAAACACAGCACUCUGCAAACACGAAAGUGGACGUAUAGGGUGUGACGCCUGCCCGGUGCUGGAAGGUUAAUUGAUGGGGUCAGCCGCAAGGCGAAGCUCUUGAUCGAAGCCCCAGUAAACGGCGGCCGUAACUAUAACGGUCCUAAGGUAGCGAAAUUCCUUGUCGGGUAAGUUCCGACCUGCACGAAUGGCGUAACGACAGCGGCGCUGUCUCCACCCGAGACUCAGUGAAAUUGAAAUCGCUGUGAAGAUGCAGCGUUCCCGUGGCAAGACGGAAAGACCCCGUGAACCUUUACUAUAGCUUUACACUGAACGUUGAGUUCGUCUGUGUAGGAUAGGUGGGAGGCUAUGAAACUGUGGCGCUAGCUGCAGUGGAGCCAUCCUUGAAAUACCACCCUGUCGUGCUUGACGUUCUAACCUAGGUCCGUUAUCCGGAUCAGGGACCGUGUAUGGUGGGUAGUUUGACUGGGGCGGUCUCCUCCUAAAGAGUAACGGAGGAGCACGAAGGUACGCUCAGCGCGGUCGGACAUCGCGCACUGUGUGCAAAGGCAUAAGCGUGCUUGACUGCAAGAUCGACGGAUCAAGCAGGUACGAAAGUAGGUCUUAGUGAUCCGGUGGUUCUGUAUGGAAGGGCCAUCGCUCAACGGAUAAAAGGUACUCCGGGGAUAACAGGCUGAUACCGCCCAAGAGUUCAUAUCGACGGCGGUGUUUGGCACCUCGAUGUCGGCUCAUCACAUCCUGGGGCUGUAGUCGGUCCCAAGGGUAUGGCUGUUCGCCAUUUAAAGUGGUACGCGAGCUGGGUUCAGAACGUCGUGAGACAGUUCGGUCCCUAUCUGCCAUGGGCGUUGGAAGUUUGAGAGGGGCUGCUCCUAGUACGAGAGGACCGGAGUGGACGAACCUCUGGUGUUCCGGUUGUCACGCCAGUGGCAUUGCCGGGUAGCUAUGUUCGGAAGCGAUAACCGCUGAAAGCAUCUAAGCGGGAAGCGCGCCUCAAGAUGAGACUUCCCGGGGCACAAGCCCCCUAAAGGAACCAUGUAGACUACGUGGUUGAUAGGUCAGGUGUGUAAGUACAGCAAUGUAUUGAGCUAACUGAUACUAAUGAUCCGUGCGGCUUGACCAUAUAACCU
rnacentral:rRNA from 8 species